UUUGCGGCGGCCAUGGUCCCAGGAGAGACGCCCGGUCCCUUUCCGAACCCGGUAGCUAAGGCCUGGCACGGUGAUGGUACUGCACCCGGUAGGGUGUGGGAGAGUAACACGCCGCCGCAU
rnacentral:rRNA from 1 species